CAGCAGCCGCCGCGGGAAUACAGAGGGUGCGAGCGUUAAUCGGAUUUACUGGGCGUAAAGCGUGCGUAGGUGGCUUCUUAAGUCGGAUGUGAAAUCCCUGAGCUUAACUUAGGAAUUGCAUUCGAUACUGGGAAGCUAGAGUAUGGUAGAGGAUGGUAGAAUUCCAGGUGUAGCGGUGAAAUGCGUAGAGAUCUGGAGGAAUACCGAUGGCGAAGGCAGCCAUCUGUCCUAAUACUGACACUGAGGUACGAAAGCAUGGGGAGCAAACAGGAUUAGAUACCCCCGUAGUCCCUGUCUCUUAUAC
rnacentral:rRNA from 1 species